CAGGGCGGGAAGGGGCGGACACGUGAUCGGCUCGGACUGCAUUUUCAGUGUGCACAUUGAAUUUUGCUACAUUCAUUGUGGGACAUUGAAUCAAAAUGCAAUCUUUCCAAAACUCAGACAAGGUGGUGGUUUUGAAUGACUCAGAAUUGUUGCAACCACUCGGAAGUCGUCAACUGAGCCUCAAUCCAUGUCCCAGUGAGGGCUAUCACAUCAGACACCAACAUGAUUUUUCUGACUUUAUUAUUUGUAGCUCAAUAAUCUGCUCUUACCUCUGAGAUCCGGAUCUGUGAUGAGAAGACGUGGAGAUGUGGAGGAUCGAAGGACCGUUCAGUUCAGGAUAAUAUGUUGCUCAUAAAUAAAUUAUUCAGAGACUCUUAUUUUAAUCAUGUUUUUCGCAUGGCUUCCCUUUAUUAAUAGACAGUAACUCAUUAGUAAUAAAAAUGUUUAAUAGGCUUGCAUAUCAUUUGCAAUUCUUUCCUGCAUUCUCCCUUUUUUGGUAAUAACGUGUAUUCCUACACAAACAGAGUACAUGGCCUUUAUCACAUCUAAUAACGAGUGUCAACAGUUCAAAUGGAAAAAUAUGGAAAAAUAGCAGUUUUUUUAGUUCAGGCUGUGUUUAGCAAUGCAUGUAAAUGCUAGCAUAAAAAUAUCUGUAACACAAUAUCUUAUGCAAUAUUUUCUGUAACACCUCUUUGUAUAUUUUAUAAUACGAUUCGUUUAGUUCAGGCUGUUCAGCAGUCCCAGACCUGUACAAUAACCCAGCAGGAUUCUUAUCACAUACUUGUCCAUUGAACUAAACAGACUUUUACUUGCAGUUUUCUGAGCAGCUCCAGGUUAAAAACAGUGGCUUAUUGUUAUUUCUUUUAAUAAUGCAGUAUGGCAGCAGAAUAUGUUCUUAACAUCGUCACCUAUGUGUUUCAACUUUAAGUCCCAGGAGGACUUCUUCUGAGGGAGAAAAAGACCACGUGAUUCCUUCUUCACCUUUCCUGAAGAAGAAGAACAACUUGAAGUGGAGAGCCUGAUGACAUAUACUGUAUCACAGAGAAAGGGAAUACAGCUGAUCAUCAACAAUCAUUGGCUGUUCUCUUCUCUCUCUGAAGGACCUUUACCACUCCCGCUGCCUCAGCAGAGCUCAGAGCAUUGAUAAAGACCACUCUCAUGCUGGUUCCCACCUGUUUAACCUGCUGCCAUCUGGCAGGCGCUACAGGUGCAUUAAAUCACGCACAAAAAGACUUAAGUAUAGCUUCUUCCCCAGAGCUAUAAAUAUGCUGAACACAAACAUGCACUGACCCCACCCCUUCCAUCUUAUUCAGUGCAAUAUGUGUAUAUCAUAUGUAUCCUUUUUUUUGUCUAUUGUAUGCCAUGCACCAAUCCGAUACCAAAUACAUAUAGGGUCAGUAUUGCCGAUACUGAUACCAAUACGAUACUUUUUACUUUUGUGUAGGGGAGUGCAGUAGGUCUAUGUCAUUGUUUCUGAGGUGGAUGAAUGAUCAAUUAUUUAGGCAAUAUUUUUAUUAAUGUAUCGAGUCCACAAAAUUAUAAGUUAUUAGGCACUGUAGAAUUAAUUCUUUACAGCGUUUUAAAAUAAUAAUAGAAAAUAAAGAAUAAAAAAAAUUCUCCCUUUUUUCUGGUUUUAAACGCAAAUGAAAUAAAGUGCACACAAUUAUUACUGAAGAACAAACACAGAAAAAUAAUCCUUUGCAAUUACAUUCCUUGAACCCCUUCUGAGUGUGCUAUCAGCUUCGCUCAGUUCGCUGGUCCUUGGCGCGAUGUGUCAGUGAGUCACGUGACGACAACAACGAAUCACAGCAGAGCAGAGCAGCGGGAGGAGUAGCAAAGUGGGCCAGCAUGUUAAAGCAGCGUUUGCUCAGGAUUGUAGAAGUAGAAGACACAAGCAAAGUUUAAUGAAAGUAGAUAUUUAAAUUAAAAUAUCAAUUCAAUUACAAUUGUAUCGAUCUGAUACCAAUACCAGUGUUGGCAUCGAUACUAUCGAUAUUUAGAUCGAUCCGCCCACCCCUAUCAGUGACUAACUAUAGACUCUCAGCUACAGUAACAACCCAAAGCACAGACUAAAAUGAUGAAAUUAUGACACAAAAUUAUUAGUGAACGUUUUGUAGGGGUUAAACCAACAACAACAAAACUCUUUUGACUGAAAAAUAUUCAACUGAACCCCAUUCCAUUGCCGUACCUGUCACAUACUGAAUUUGAUUUAUUUUAACAACAAAUUUAAAAAAAAAUUAGUACAUAAUACAAUAAGAACAAGUAAAUUAAUGAUAAACAAUAGCACAAACAAUAACAAUAACAAGCAAUGUGUUCAGUUAGGUCUAACUGUAAACUAUUCAACUGUAAAAUAACACUGGAUUAUGAAAGACAGCAGAAGGUUUAUUUAGGCAGAUACUGUUACACAGGGCGCUAUGCUUACUUUUCUUUUUAGGAGCGCAUUCCUUUUAGUUUAAAAGAAUUAGGAGUACCGUGUGAUCAAUAAUCAAAAAUUCUGGACACAAAAUUAGCCUUCCUAAUAAAAGGACAUGUGAGUCCUUAAAGUAUCUACAGAGGUAUUUUCUUUUACCUUUACAAUGGCAUCUACAUUCCACAUAAAGUGUAAACAUUUUA